GACGAACGCUGGCGGCGUGCUUAACACAUGCCAGUCGAACGGAAAGGCCCUGCUUUUGUGUGGUGCUCUAGUGGCGAACGGAUGAGUAACACUUGAGUAACCUGCCCUUGACUUUGGGAUAACUUCAGGAAACUGGGGCUAAUACCGGAUAAUAGCUCCUGCUGCAUGGUGGGGGGUGGCAAGUUUCGUCGGUUGUGGAUGGACUCGCGGCUUAUCAGCUUGUUGGUGGGGUAGUGGCUUACCAAGGCUUUGACGGGUAGCCGGCCUGAGAGGGUGAACGGCAACAUGGGGACUGAGAUAGGGCCCAGACUCCUACGGGAGGCAGCAGUGGGGAAUAUUGCACAAUGGGCGGAAGCCUGAUGCAGCAACGCCGCGUGCGGGAUGAAGGCCUUGGGGUUGUAAACCGCUUUCGCCUGUGACGAAGCGUGAGUGACGGUAAUGGGUAAAGAAGCACCGGCUAACUACGUG
rnacentral:rRNA from 1 species